rnacentral:rRNA from 1 species
UACGUAGGCAGCGAGCGUUGUUCGGAGUUACUGGGCGUAAAGGGUGUGUAGGCGGUUUUCUAAGUUUGGUGUGAAAUCUCGGGGCUUAACUCCGAAACUGCAUUCGAUACUGCCGUGCUUGAGGACUGGAGAGGAGACUGGAAUUUACGGUGUAGCGGUGAAAUGCGUAGAUAUCGUAAGGAAGACCAGUGGCGAAGGCGGGUCUCUGGACAGUUCCUGACGCUGAGGCACGAAGGCCAGGGGAGCAAACGGG